UUGGUAACCUGGGAGGCUAGUUUAGAAGGUAUUCUACCCUGAGCAAGACGGUAUUUGACUCUUGGACUGUCUUUGACUGGCAUUGGAGGGCCUUUUGGGAAACUUAAUUUGAGCAGCGUCGAGGCUUCAUUGAGCAGGGUUCGUGACUCCUUUUGGCUGGAUUGAGCUUGGUGAUAGGUGGGUCGGACCUUCCCGAAAUGGGUGAAUUUUCCUCUAUGUCUCCUUUGACAUCUGAGUUGAAGUUAUUCCAUAUGCAUGUGAAUAUUUAUAUAGUUCCGGGCAUUGCGACAUGCAUUGAUGUGUAGAUCAUAUCGGAUAUGAUAGCAUCGGUAAAUGGUAAUUACAGACUUAUGACUUGUCCAUUCUACAUGGUUACCUGUUAAGUACUAUGGAUUCAUGACACUAGCAGCUGACAUAUGCAAUUUUGGCUUGUUGUUAUCCACGAGGAUAGAAUGGUAAGUUUGUGAAUGGACUAAUUAGUUCUGUUGAACAACAAAGAGAUGGAUGCAUUUAGGAAUGAGCUAUGCAAUGGUAUGUAUAAUUGCUAUACUCUGAAAGAUCAGGUAAAGGCCUUUGUUUGGCAUAUGCAUUUCUAAUUGUAGAAUGAAUGGCAUAGAGAUCAUGUGAAGAGUGUUUUAUCGCUUGUUUUACUUGCUUGCAUUACCUUGUUAGUUUCUACUUUCACAUGAUAGCCUUGUAUUAUGGUAUAUG